AUGGUUGUGCAGGAUUUGGAGAUUAAAUUUCUUGUUUACUUGCAGCUAUCUCUAGUGGCUGUUUUUGCUGAAAUAUAAAGUGGGUAUUAGCAUUUGGAUUGGGUUUUCCGUAUAUAGCAGAUGAUUGGCUUUAUUAGCUACUGAAAUCUAAGGCUUGAGACACAGGAAAUACAAGUUGCAUCCCCUCCAAACCUCAUUAAUUAAAUCCACAAACUGCUAGUUUAUCAAUAUUUGGGCCGCAUAUAAGGAAAUUGAAAGAACUUUUUGUUUCUAGGGAGCGCAAAUGUUUCCAAAGAUUGAUUGGAAUACUAUUGCAGUUGAGCUUAUUGAUAUGUUGGGUAUUUGAAAACAGAGAGAUAAAGUCAUUUAUAUGAGAUUUGGAAGUGGCCUUGCAUUAUGACUCAGAGUCAUACCAAGGCUAUAAGAGAGAAUAGAUGAUGUGGUGAUCACUCCCAAGGGUUUGAGAAAAGGGUGGUUUCACAGGAUGCUCUACCUAUUUUCAAUUUGUCUGUGCUUACAAGGAUAUUGAAAGCUUGGAUGAAGUGAAGAAGAGGUUCAAGGAAGAGUAGCUGUUCAGCCUUUAGUAAUAUUGUUCUCAAUGUUGUUCUUGUGUUUUAAUGUAUGAAUGAUUGAGAAAUACUAUGUUUAUGGUACAUUUGAUGCU
rnacentral:lncRNA from 1 species